AUCAUUAAAAUAUGUCUAGGUACUUGGUUGUUACAAAUCUGCAACACCUGUCCUGAGAGGGUUUUAAUUAAAAACAGGUUUAAAGACCACUCCGACCUCCGUCUUUAAAAACCCGGCGCGCAAACACUCAUUCAACCUUUGAAAGAGUAUUAAUGCGGAGUUUAAGUACGUACAGGACACCGCCGUCCUACUUACCAAGAGUAGUCCUCUCUCCUCUGGAUUCGCGUCAACCCUCAGCCCCAGACGAGGAGCCGAAACCCAGUCCCGGAAAGGGUGUUUUUGCCGUGGCCACGGUCUUCCUGGCCGUCGACGCAGCGUCUGGAGGCGUCAGGUAUAUUGCGAUCCCGGACAAGCCCCCAAAAAUGUCAGG